AAAUCAGGUCACUGGAAACAGCCAAGUCACGUGACUCCCUAUCAAAAGGGGCGUCCACAUCGUUGUUGUUGAUAACACGCUGCAAGUAAUUUCAUGCUACUUCAUUCGACCAGAUAACACUCAGAAGUUAUCCUUGAAGAUCUCGCAACCCCGGCACAGGUGUCAACAUGUCGACGUCACACAUUCCUACGUCAUUAGACAGGCGAGACACGUCGCCCCCUGACUCUCAUCUCAUCUUCUCCGUCGUCUCACUCAUCUUCUGUCUGCCUGUGGGGAUAUUUGCGAUCCUUGCCAGCCUGAAGGUGAGGGUAGCCAUUGAUAUGAACAACAUGUCCGCGGCCAGAGAUGCUUCUGCAAAGGCAGCCAAGUUAUCAAUGCUGGGUGUUGUGUUAGGGAGCAACGUCUACAUGCUGGUCACCGCCCUUGUGUUGUGCAUUCUCUACCAGGCGACAUGAUGACGUCAUAAAGCGUCAUCCCACAUUCGAACAUUUUUAUCUUUCGUCGAAUUUAUCCACUCGGACCUUUCCGGCAGCAGUCACGGAAAGACACGAGUGGUCACAAACAUUUUUGUUUGUAGGAACGUAUUCAUAUUAUAUGACCUCAGAAUACCAGCUGCAGCCUUUGUUUGACAGGACCUGUCAUCAGCUCAGGAACUUCAAGGAUGAUUAGCAAAAUGUGAUGUUCUCACUGUGUAUAUACUUACCCCAUUUACGAUGCCUUUGUGAUUUUUGGUGUAUCUGCAGGCGACGAUCUGAGGGCAACGAAAUGUGACUUUGUCUACUGGUUUAAACACAAUCAUAAUAAUACAGAUGUAAUAUAUAACAAACUGAUCGAAGAGGCUCCUAUACACUGAGUCACAAAAUGGCCUAAAUAAUGUUUACAUGACUGUAUGUUAAUUCAUCACUGUGCUUUGAAUCUGGAACUUCAACUUAGAAGUGAUAUACAAAAAGGCAGAAUCUAUGGCUGUUAUUGGUAACUUCUUUAUUUUGAUGGACACGAUUUCGAGGUAUAUUCUUAUUCCUUCAUCAGGUGAAUAUCAUUCACCUCAGUAUAUAUCCGCGAAACGUCGUGUCC